CAAACACAAGUUCCCAUACGAUCAUCGAAGUUAAGCAACGUCGAACUUGGUUAAUAUCUAGAUGGGUGACCGCUUGGGAAUACCAAGUGCUGUAA